UACGAAGGGGGCUAGCGUUGCUCGGAAUCACUGGGCGUAAAGGGCGCGUAGGCGGCCGGCCAAGUCGGGGGUGAAAGCCUGUGGCUCAACCACAGAAUGGCCCUCGAUACUGGACGGCUCGAGACCGGAAGAGGUUGGUGGAACUGCGAGUGUAGAGGUGAAAUUCGUAGAUAUUCGCAAGAACACCAGUGGCGAAGGCGGCUCACUGGCCCAUUACUGACGCUGAGGCACGAAAGCGUGGGGAGCAAACAGG
rnacentral:rRNA from 1 species